ACAUUUGCCUGUCAGGGAGGUCCCAAGGCCGUGAAGGUCAUUGUCCCAUGGUGAGGCUUGUCCAUUGCAAGUUGGACAUGUUGACCCUUCCAGUGUAUCCCCAAAUGUGGGAAACUUGGCCACAUUUGGUAGUGGGGGACUUUGUGCUUUCCCCAA
ensembl:snRNA LOC120097245 U1 spliceosomal RNA